rnacentral:lncRNA from 1 species
CCCGUUAUUUAUUUUAAUAGAAUUAUAGUUGUAUAAAUUAUAUAAAAUAUAUAAAAAAUUUGUCCGUAAAAAUAAAUAAUACUUUUAAAAUUUAAAGUUUAAGAAUCAUUAAUGACUCUAAUCAAAUAAAUUAAAAGGUUGAAUAGUAAAAUCAUAAUUUUUUGAGGUUAGAUACUUAGAACAAAAUGGGUGGUGGAUCAGAUAUGU